GCCUAGGGGGGCAGCAGUGGGGAAUAUUGCACAAUGGGGGAAACCCUGAUGCAGCAACGCCGCGUGAGUGAAGAAGUAGUUCGGUAUGUAAAGCUCUAUCAGCAGGGAAGAAGAUGACGGUACCUGACCAAGAAGCCCCGGCUAACUACGUGCCAGCAGCCGCGGUAAUACGUAGGGGGCAAGCGUUAUCCGGAUUUACUGGGUGUAAAGGGAGCGCAGAUGGCAGUGCAAGUCUGGAGUGAAAGCCCGGGGCCCAACCCCGGAACUGCUCUGGAAACUGUGCGGCUAGAGUACUGUAGGGGAAG
rnacentral:rRNA from 1 species